UACGGAGGGUGCAAGCGUUGUUCGGAAUCACUGGGCGUAAAGGGCGUGUAGGCGGUCCGCUAAGUCUGAUGUGAAAGCCCGGGGCUCACCCCCGGAAGUGCAUUGGAAACUGACGGACUCGAGUCCCGGAGAGGAGGGUGGAAUUCCUGGUGUAGCGGUGAAAUGCGUAGAUAUCGUGAGGAACACCAGAGGCGAAGGCGGCUACCUGGACAAUUGCUGACGCUCAGGCACGAAAGCGUGGGGAGCAAAAGGG
rnacentral:rRNA from 1 species